UCUCCGUUGGUGAACCAGCGGAGGAUCAUUAUCGAGGUUACAACUCCCCAACCAUUAUGAAUUUUACCUUUUCGUUGCUUCGGCAGGAUUGCCCCGGGCGCUUCGGUGCCCCGGAUUCAGGCGCCUGCCGGGUGACCUAAACUCUUGUAUUAUAGUGAAUGUCUGAUUGGAUUUCAAAAAUAAUCAAAACUUUCAACAACGGAUCUCUUGGUUCUG
rnacentral:misc_RNA from 1 species